CCCCCCCAGGAGACGACGGACCGGAGACCCAGUGAAGAACCCAGAGAGGAGACGUCCAGGAGAUCAGGGCCUGCUGCAGUCACCAGCUGUUCCACGGUGGUGCAUGGAGGGACAGGACUUUGUAGAAAUCUGUUCUCACAUUGAAGGUUUUCUUCUGGUAAAUGUUUGUGAGGAAAGACACAUUGGAUUGACCACCAGUGACUUAUGAAAGCAACAAAGGGGACAAACAUCCAAGGGGGUGGAUACUUCUGCAAGGCACAGGAAAUGCUGGCGAGGUUUUCUGGGACGUAAAGGUAAGGCAGGUGUAUUUAUCCAGCAGGUUUAAUACACAACACCUUUAAGAAGUGCUUUACAUGAAAAGACCAAAGCACAGAAACACAAAACAGUCAAAAUGAUCAAUUAUGACUAAAAUCACUGAAUGAGAAGAAUGAUAAGAACUUCCUGUGGGGUGGGAGCCAUCUGACGUCAUGAGAAAGACUGACGCUCCUCUUGCUGACGGCUGAUGUCAGGACUUUGUUCCCGACUGCUGGGAGGGAAUUCUACAAACAGAGUGUAGAAAUCCACAGAGGACUUUAUGGAGGAGGACAUGGACCUUCUGCACCGAUAGGUGGGAGGUUUGUCGGCUCCAAGUGAUGACAUACGGAGCUGGGGGGGUUUACCCCUAUUUAUUGAACCUAAUAAGACACUUGAUCUAUUGUUAGAAUGUGCAAUGAUUUCAGAAAAGCCCCCUCCCUUUUACUAGUGCCCUGUCCCA